AGUGGAAUUGCUGGGUUAAGUGGUAGCUUUGUGUUUAACUUUUUGAAGAACUUCAAAUUCUUUCCCAAAGUAGCUGUACCAUUUUAUGUUCCCACCAGCAGU
rnacentral:pre_miRNA from 1 species